rnacentral:rRNA from 1 species
CACGAACGCUGACGGCAGGCUUAACACAUGCAAGUCGAGCGCCCCGCAAGGGGAGCGGCAGACGGGUGAGUAACGCGUGGGAAUCUACCCAUCUCUACGGAAUAACGCAUGGAAACGUGUGCUAAUACCGUAUACGUCCUUCGGGAGAAAGAUUUAUCGGAGAUGGAUGAGCCCGCGUUGGAUUAGCUAGUUGGUGGGGUAAAGGCCUACCAAGGCGACGAUCCAUAGCUGGUCUGAGAGGAUGAUCAGCCACACUGGGACUGAGACACGGCCCAGACUCCUACGGGAGGCAGCAGUGGGGAAUAUUGGACAAUGGGCGCAAGCCUGAUCCAGCCAUGCCGCGUGAGUGAUGAUGGCCCUAGGGUUGUAAAGCUCUUUCACCGGUGAAGAUAAUGACGGUAACCGGAGAAGAAGCCCCGGCUAACUUCGUGCCAGCAGCCGCAGUAAAAC